UCUUUUGGUAGUUCAAUGGUAAAGUGUUUGCUCUUUCACAUAAGAUGUCUAGGUUCAAAUCCUAGUAAGGUAU
rnacentral:tRNA from 1 species